AGGGGGUGACCCGGUGCCGUGUGCCCCCGCAGCGCGAGUGCAUCUCCAUCCACGUGGGCCAAGCGGGCGUGCAGAUCGGCAAUGCCUGCUGGGAGCUGUACUGCCUGGAGCACGGCAUCCAGCCCGACGGGCAGAUGCCCAGCGACAAGACCAUCGGCGGGGGGGGACGACUCCUUCAACACCUUCUUCAGCGAGACGGGGGCCGGCAAGCACGUGCCCCGGGCCGUCUUCGUGGACCUGGAGCCCACGGUGAUCGACGAGGUGCGCACGGGGACGUACCGGCAGCUCUUCCACCCCGAGCAGCUGAUCACGGGCAAGGAGGAUGCGGCCAACAACUACGCCCGCGGGCACUACACCAUCGGGAAGGAGAUCAUCGACCUGGUCCUCGACCGCAUCCGCAAGCUGGCUGACCAGUGCACAGGGCUGCAGGGCUUCCUGGUGUUCCACAGCUUCGGGGGCGGCACCGGCUCCGGCUUCACCUCCCUGCUCAUGGAGCGGCUCUCUGUCGACUACGGCAAGAAGUCCAAGCUGGAGUUCUCCAUCUACCCGGCCCCGCAGGUCUCCACGGCCGUGGUGGAGCCCUACAACUCCAUCCUCACCACCCACACCACCCUGGAGCACUCCGACUGCGCCUUCAUGGUGGACAACGAGGCCAUCUAUGACAUCUGCCGCCGCAACCUGGACAUCGAGAGACCCACCUACACCAACCUCAACCGCCUCAUCAGCCAGGUCGUGUCCUCCAUCACGGCCUCGCUGCGCUUCGACGGGGCCCUGAACGUCGACCUGACGGAGUUCCAGACCAACCUGGUGCCGUACCCCCGCAUCCACUUCCCGCUGGCCACCUACGCCCCCGUCAUCUCCGCCGAGAAGGCUUAUCACGAGCAGCUGUCGGUGGCCGAGAUCACCAACGCCUGCUUCGAGCCGGCCAACCAGAUGGUGAAGUGCGACCCCCGGCACGGCAAGUACAUGGCGUGCUGCCUGCUGUACCGCGGGGACGUGGUGCCCAAGGACGUCAACGCCGCCAUCGCCACCAUCAAGACCAAGCGCACCAUCCAGUUUGUGGACUGGUGCCCCACUGGGUUCAAGGUGGGCAUCAACUACCAGCCGCCCACGGUGGUGCCCGGGGGGGACCUGGCCAAGGUGCAGAGGGCCGUGUGCAUGCUGAGCAA